rnacentral:misc_RNA from 1 species
UUAGAAGAUCUCAGGAUGGCUUUCGCACGCAGUUAGAGUAAACAGCAGUUCGGAACUUCUUGAUUCCACCAUGGGGCCGAACGUCUUCAAUGCUGUAACCAAGGGGAGCUUCAUAAAAUAAGGAUUUACUACUGCUAGACUUCUUCUUGCCACCUUUGGACUCCAUUAGAUCAUUCAGUCUUUGCCAAUAUGAAUAUAUUACAAUCUGAAAACCCAAGCUCCUCUAAAUACCUUUCUUUAUGAAGCUCCAAUCAAAUCAAACCCGAUUGAAAACCGAAACACAAAGCAAUCGGAUGCGAUAUGCCAGCAGCGAUAGGCAAAAUCAAACCCUAAGAACUUGAUGAAAGAGUAGAGAGAUUCGUAUACGACACGCUGAGUUUGCGAUUAUUAAGAAGGGGCGCUCUUUCCUUAUGC